AGUCGAGCGCACCUUCGGGUGAGCGGCGGAGGGUUAGUAACGCGUGGGAAUAUGCCCUUCACUACGGAAUAGCCUCGGGAAACUGAGAGUAAUACCGUAUACGCCCUUCGGGGGAAAGAUUUAUCGGUGAAGGAUUAGCCCGCGUCUGAUUAGAUAGUUGGUGGGGUAACGGCCUACCAAGUCGACGAUCAGUAGCUGGUUUGAGAGGAUGAUCAGCAACACUGGGACUGAGACACGGCCCAGACUCCUACGGGAGGCAGCAGUGGGGAAUCUUAGACAAUGGGCGCAAGCCUGAUCUAGCCACGCCGCGUGAGUGACGAAGGCCUUAGGGUCGUAAAGCUCUUUCGCCAGGGAUGAUAAUGACAGUACCUGGUAAAGAAACCCCGGCUAACUCCGUGCCAGCAGCCGCGGUAAUACGGAGGGGGUUAGCGUUGUUCGGAAUUACUGGGCGUAAAGCGCGCGUAGGCGGAUUGGAAAGUUGGGGGUGAAAUCCCGGGGCUCAACCCCGGAACUGCCUCCAAAACUAUCAGUCUAGAGUUCGAGAGAGGUGAGUGGAAUUCCGAGUGUAGAGGUGAAAUUCGUAGAUAUUCGGAGGAACACCAGUGGCGAA
rnacentral:rRNA from 1 species